AUACGGAGGAUGCGAGCGUUAUCCGGAUUUAUUGGGUUUAAAGGGAGCGUAGGUGGGAUAUUAAGUCAGCUGUGAAAGUUUGGGGCUCAACCUUAAAAUUGCAGUUGAUACUGGUUUCCUUGAGUACGGUAUAGGUGGGCGGAAUUCGUGGUGUAGCGGUGAAAUGCUUAGAUAUCACGAAGAACUCCGAUCGCGAAGGCAGCUCACCGGGCCGGAACUGACACUGAUGCUCGAAAGUGCGGGUAUCAAACAGGAUUAGAUACCCUGGUAGUCCGCACAGUAAACGAUGAAUACUCGCUGUUUGCGAUACACUGUAAGCGGCCAAGCGAAAGCGUUAUGUAUUCCACCUGGGGAGUACGCCGGCAACGGUGAAACUCAAAGGAAUUGACGGGG
rnacentral:rRNA from 1 species